rnacentral:rRNA from 1 species
AUUGAACGCUGGCGGCAGGCCUAACACAUGCAAGUCGAACGAGUGGCGGACGGGUGAGUAAUGUAUGGGAAACUGCCUGAUGGAGGGGGAUAACUACUGGAAACGGUAGCUAAUACCGCAUACUAUCCGCUGUGCCCAUAUGGGAUUAGCUUGUUGGUGGGGUAAAUGCCCACCAAGGCGACGAUCCCUAGCUGGUCUGAGAGGAUGACCAGCCACACUGGAACUGAGACACUGUCCAGACUCCUACGGGAGGCAGCGUUGGGGAAUAUUGCACAAUGGGGGCAAUCCUUAUGCAGCCAUGCCGCGGGUAUGAAGAAGGCCUUCGGGUUGUAAAGUACUUUCAGCGGGGAGGCGUUACCCGCAGAAGAAGCACCGGCUAACUCCGUGCCAGCAGCCGCGGUAAUAC